CACGUAGUUAGCCGUGGCUUAUUCAACAGGUACCGUCUUCUGCUCUUCCUUGUUAAAAGAAGUUUACAACCCGAAAGCCUUCUUCCUUCACGCGGCGUUGCUGGGUCAGGCUUGCGCCCAUUGCCCAAUAUUCCCCACUGCUGCCUCCCGUAGGAGUCUGGGCCGUAUCUCAGUCCCAAUGUGGCCGGCCAACCUCUCAGUCCGGCUACUGAUCGUCGCCUUGGUAGGCCGUUACCCUACCAACUAGCUAAUCAGACGCGAGGCCAUCUCUCAGCGAUAAAUCUUUGGCAUCUGUACCAUGCGAUACCUAUGCAUUAUGCGGUAUUAGCAGUCGUUUCCAACUGUUGUCCCCCUCUGAAAGGCAGGUUCCUCACGCGUUACUCACCCGUCCGCCACUAAACAACCCCUUCCAUUGACCGAAAUCUCUUUCCAAGGCGUUCCGUUCGACUUGCAUGUGUUAAGCACGCCGCCAGCGUUCGUCCUCGUAGCCACGGAGUCAACUACU
rnacentral:rRNA from 1 species